rnacentral:misc_RNA from 1 species
CUCGAGAACAUCCUGAUGAAAGACGACGAUUAUUCUGUCGCUGUAGAGCCUACCCAGCAAUUUUCCAACGAAUUUUUGGCUGAUAUUCUUGUUGAUUCUCCUCCCGUUGUUUCCGCUGAAGUCGUCGAUGCAGCCACCGACAAGGACUCCAGUGCUUCCGAUAAUGGUACUGGUAGUGCUUCAGAGACGGAAAAGGAUAGGAAGAAGGUGGUUGAUGAUGGAGUUGAGGUAAAAAGCGACGGUGAGGAUCACGAUGAUCCUAUCUCUAAGAAACGGAGAAGGCAGUUGAGAAAUAGGGAUGCAGCUGUUAGAUCAAGAGAAAGGAAGAAGAUGUAUGUGAGGGAUCUGGAAAUUAAGAGUAGGUAUUUGGAAGGGGAAUGCAGAAGACUGGGGCAGUUGCUUCAGUGUUUUAUGGCAGAGAAUCAAGCUCUACGUCUUAGUUUGCAGAAGGGCAAUGCAUUUGGUGUUACCUCAGCCAAGCAGGAGUCUGCUGUGCUCUUGUUGGAAUCCCUGCUGUUGGGUUCCCUGCUUUGGUUCCUGGGCAUCAUGUGCCUGUUCACUCUGCCCACACUUCCAGAGUCAAUUCCGGUGUCAGUUUCACAGGAAAACGCGGAAAAGAAAGUACCAGAAAGAGGAGCAGGAAGUAAGAUGUUUACAUCCUUGGUAAUACAAUCUUCUGUGAACAGUAGGAGAUGCAAAGCAUCAAGGACGAGAAUGAAAUCAAGAUCCAUAUUCGUUGGAGUCUUGGUGGGAGGCUCUCUUCUUUAGAGUAACUUAUUGGGAGUAUCUAUAAUCUCCACUUCUUUCAGUCUUUUCCUGUUUCAUUUAGUCUUAUAUCGUGUAUUUUGAUGGAAUGGGAGAAUAUUUU